AGCGAACGCUAGCGGCGGGCCUAACACAUGCAAGUCGAGCGUAUACCUUCGGGUAUGAGCGGCGGACGGGUGAGUAACGCGUAGGUCAUCUACCCUUUGGUGGGGAGUAACCCACGGGAAACGUUAGGGCGUAAUAACCGCACGAGGUCUACGGAUCAAAGCCUUCGGGCGCCAGAGGAUGAGCCUGCGUCGCAUUACCUAGUUGGCGGGGUAACGGCCCACCAAGGGGACGAUGCGUAGCUGGUCUGAGAGGAUGAUCAGCCACACUGGGACUGAGACACGGCCCAGACUCCCACGGGAGGCAGCAGUGGGGAAUAUUGCGCAAUGGGGGAAACCCUGACGCAGCCACGCCGCGUGGGUGAUGAAGGCCUUCGGGUUGUAAAGCCCUGUCGGGAGGGACGAAUUCUUGUACGGUACCUCCAAAGAAAGCACCGGCUAACUCCGUGCCAGCAGCCG
rnacentral:rRNA from 1 species